AUAUCAUAUACUUUAUUUGAAGGUAAGAAAGACGAAAUAUCAUCCAUUUUUGAUUGAUUGUUGAAACAUAAUAUGGUUGUAUAUUUUUUUUUUCUUUUAUUUUGUUAGAAUAGGUUUGGUUGAUAAGCACUCUCUCUUACAAUUUAUAUCGUAUAUAUUUAUUUAUUCAAUGUACAGGUUCUUAAAUGGAGCAACAACUAUUCAAAUUAAAGGUAAAAUUUGGAGGAUAUUAUAAGAAGGUUAAGAAUUCUACAAGAC
rnacentral:lncRNA from 1 species